AAGUCGUAACAAGGUCUCCGUUGGUGAACCAGCGGAGGGAUCAUUACCGAGUUUACAACUCCCAAACCCCUGUGAACAUACCUUAAUGUUGCCUCGGCGGAUCAGCCCGCGCCCCGUAAAACGGGACGGCCCGCCAGAGGACCCAAACUCUAAUGUUUCUUAUUGUAACUUCUGAGUAAAACAAACAAAUAAAUCAAAACUUUCAACAACGGAUCUCUUGGUUCUGGCAUCGAUGAAGAACGCAGCAAAAUGCGAUAAGUAAUGUGAAUUGCAGAAUUCAGUGAAUCAUCGAAUCUUUGAACGCACAUUGCGCCCGCUGGUAUUCCGGCGGGCAUGCCUGUUCGAGCGUCAUUUCAACCCUCAAGCCCCCGGGUUUGGUGUUGGGGAUCGGCUCUGCCCUUCUGGGCGGUGCCGCCCCCGAAAUACAUUGGCGGUCUCGCUGCAGCCUCCAUUGCGUAGUAGCUAACACCUCGCAACUGGAACGCGGCGCGACCAUGCCGUAAAACCCCAACUUCUGAAUGUUGACCUCGGAUCAGGUAGGAAUACCCGCUGAACUUAA
rnacentral:rRNA from 1 species